rnacentral:lncRNA from 1 species
AUCCAAGUACUAGAUUAAAUAUUCAUAAAUCCAAGAGUGGAAGGAAAGGAGGGCUAGCUUGAAGUGCAAGUUACAUACAGAAUUCAUUCAAAAAAAACAUUUUCAUUUCAAAGUAUUCAGUUGCAUCACAAAAGAAACAGAAUCAAAACCUAUAAAAUAGUACAUUUUUAACUUACAGUUGACUUUGGUCAACCAGUUGGCCAAGGUCAACUUCCUGACCCUAACCCUAAGUCCUCAAUUUCUUCUUCCACAAGGCAUUUUGUCUUAGUCUUCGUUGAUCCAUGACUUUUGGGUACUCCAUGCUUUGAUUUUUAAUCAAGCCUUUCCCCCUUUCAUAAUUAUGCACAAUGAUCCUACAAGGACACAAACAAUACAAUUAGCAUUCAUUAGUCAUAAUUCAGCCCUCACCCAAUUCAAAGAUCCAUAAACACAUCAUAAACCAAUGCAUACAUAUACAUUUCCAUCUUUCAAGUCGCACUAACAUAACCUAACAAUUUAACUUCAACCAUUUAAUUCAUUUGCUAUAACCAUUUUCACACAUAAGCAUUAAUAGGAAUACAAUCAAAAUUCAGCAUGCCAAUAAUGUAAUCAUAUUCCAAAACUAGUUUUCAAACUCAAUCCAUACAUAGUAAAUUCUUACACAACAACUUCAUGCCAAUUCUAACAUAUAACAUUCAGUUCUUAAAAAAAAUUCAACAAAACUUCAUAUCAAUAGUUCAGAACAUUAACUUCUAACAGUCCCUAAUUUAACAGAUAGUUUUUUUAUCAGAUCCAAUUGAUUCUACACUAACAGUUUAUACAAUCCAAUUUUAACUUCAAUUUACUAACUUUUUUUAAACUGAUAUAAAUAACUCACUGAUUCCAACUAUUUAUCAUGACUAAACUUAACAUUUUACAAAGUUAAUCAUAACAAUUUCACAUCAGCAUCAUUUAUUAACACAGACAAUGCUAACUAAUCCACAAAUUCAUAAGCAUUACAACUAACAAACUAACUUGUUAACAGAAUUCAAAACUAACAAUCACCAUUUAACUAACAGUCCACCAUAUAACUAAUUACUGAUUCAAACUUACAAUCCAAGUAACACAUAAUAACUAACAUCACAAUCAAUCAUAACUAACAAAUAACAAAUAAUAAUUCAUUCUAACACAUAGCAGGCUUUAACCGAGUUUUGUUAACAUUCAUUAACAUUUUUUUUAUUUCGACUAACUUGCAUAGCAUAACCUAACUAACACUAAUUGAAUUACCAACCCCAUAACUAAUUCAAACUAAUUAUUACGGAAUAUUAAUCGUUAUCAAUUUCAACUAAUUUACAUAGAGAAAAACUAACAGACUCAACAUUGCCCUAACUUUUGUGAUUUCCGAGCUACCCGUUUCAGUUACACUCUUCAUUCUCUAUAAAUACCCUACACCAAUCAUUGUUGAAAGAGGGAUCAUUUUUUUCACACAAUCACAAUCAUUACACAUAUCACAUUCAAUCAUAACCUCACCGAAAUCUCAGUGUCUGAAUUUCUCUCACUCUGCAUUCAUCUCUCACAUUGAAUUCUCUCUCAAAUUCGUUCAUCCCAAUUUGUCGGAGUUUCUGCAAGUCACUCACAUACACGAGCAACAAGAACAACCAUGCACGGAUAUCAAGAAAUGCCAACGGACUACUUGGAGGAGGAGGAGAAGAAGGUAGGUGAAUAAAAAGAAAAUAUCAGAGCAAUUACCUCUUGGAAGUUCCAUUGGUAUUCUUGAUUCUUCAAUUUCGUCUUCUUCGAUUUCAACAUUCUCAGAGGCAGCCUCCCCCUCGAAGGUAGGCUCUGAUUCCAUCUUCAUCCUACUCGUGUUGCUUGCCUCAAUGUAGUUUAACUUCAUAGGGACCAAACCCCUAAGAU